GAGUUUGAUCCUGGCUCAGGACGAACGCUGGCGGCGUGCCUAAUACAUGCAAGUCGAGCGGAUAUUUGAGAGCUUGCUCUCAAAUGUUAGCGGCGGACGGGUGAGUAACACGUGGGCAACCUGCCCUGUAGACUGGGAUAACUUCGGGAAACCGAAGCUAAUACCGGAUAAUCUUUGGAACCUCAUGGUUCUGAAGUGAAAGUUGGGUUUACCUAACACUACAGGAUGGGCCCGCGUCGCAUUAGCUAGUUGGUAAGGUAACGGCUUACCAAGGCGACGAUGCGUAGCCGACCUGAGAGGGUGAUCGGCCACACUGGGACUGAGACACGGCCCAGACUCCUACGGGAGGCAGCAGUAGGGAAUCUUCCGCAAUGGACGAAAGUCUGACGGAGCAACGCCGCGUGAGCGAUGAAGGCCUUCGGGUCGUAAAGCUCUGUUGUUACAUCAGGAGACAUGUUUAAGUACUUAUACAAUGUUCCUCUUGAAAUAUUAAACUUUUCUGCAACCUUUGCUUUUGAGUACCCUUGUUC
rnacentral:ncRNA from 1 species